rnacentral:rRNA from 1 species
UACGUAGGGUGCGAGCGUUGCCCGGAUUUAUUGGGCGUAAAGGGCGCGUAGGCGGCUCGGCACGUCCGUUGUGAAAUCGCCCGGCUCAACUGGGCGGGGUCAGCGGAUACGGUCGAGCUUGAGCAAGCUAGGGGGCAAUGGAACUCCCGGUGUAGUGGUGGAAUGCGUAGAUAUCGGGAAGAACACCAGUGGCGAAGGCGGUUGCCUGGAGCUUUGCUGACGCUGAGGCGCGAAAGCGUGGGGAGCGAUCCGG